rnacentral:lncRNA from 1 species
UUUUAUUGGUCCCUUUUACCAAACUUUGAUGUAAUUACACACUUUUGUUCUUAUUAAUUUGUAUAAAUGCAAUUAGAUUUAAUUUAUUUUGUUUUGAAUAGUUAUUUCACAGAUUUUUCAGUUUUGUAGAACUUUUGGUUGAAAAAGCUUUUGGAAUGCAACACCACAUCUUGGAUGAAGCUUGCAAAACAAGGAAGCUAGAUAAGCAUCAGUUUGCGCCGCGAACUGCCUUCGCGCCGCGAAGGCUGCGAAUCUAGCAAGCUGAUUAAGG